rnacentral:rRNA from 1 species
AGCGAACGCUGGCGGCAGGCUUAACACAUGCAAGUCGAGCGGGCGUAGCAAUACGUCAGCGGCAGACGGGUGAGUAACGCGUGGGAACAUACCUUUUGGUUCGGAACAACACAGGGGAAACUUGUGCUAAAUACCGGAUAAGCCCUUACGGGGAAAGAUUUAUCGCCGAAAGAUUGGCCCGCGUCUGAUUAGCUAGUUGGUGAGGUAAUGGCUCACCAAGGCGACGAUCAGUAGCUGGUCUGAGAGGAUGAUCAGCCACAUUGGGACUGAGACACGGCCCAAACUCCUACGGGAGGCAGCAGUGGGGAAUAUUGGACAAUGGGCGCAAGCCUGAUCCAGCCAUGCCGCCGUGAGUGAUGAAGGCC